UUCUUUUUACCAAACAACAGAUCUGUGUCCUGCGAUCCCGUUCCAUGAAGCUAUUCGUUCGCGUCUAGUCUGAAUGUGUUUCGGUCGUAUUGCUUGACAGUUCGACGACCCAUGGAGCCAUCCAUCUGGUGUAUAGCCGUUUUUCUCAUGAUGUCAAUUUCCGGUCGACAGAUCUCAGAUGAAGAUUCAGCGCUGGGAUUAUAACACUCUGCCUUGAGCUUCCUUCGGUUGAGCUCGGUGAGAUGGCCCGGGCCUGCUGUGGGCGUCAUAUUCCAUCUCUCUUUGCCGAUGGCCGUCGGUUGGUGAGGUUAGGGAAAAACCAUGACAGCCAACAUAU
rfam:Trichophyton benhamiae CBS 112371 contig01106.0, whole genome shotgun sequence.